UACGUAGGGGGCAAGCGUUGUCCGGAAUCAUUGGGCGUAAAGCGCGUGUAGGCGGUCCGGUAAGUCGGCUGUGAAAGUCCAGGGCUCAACCCUGGGAUGCCGGUCGAUACUGCCGGACUAGAGUUCGGAAGAGGCGAGUGGAAUUCCCGGUGUAGCGGUGAAAUGCGCAGAUAUCGGGAGGAACACCUAUGGCGAAGGCAGCUCGCUGGGACGUUACUGACGCUGAGACGCGAAAGCGUGGGGAGCAAACGGG
rnacentral:rRNA from 1 species